rnacentral:rRNA from 1 species
CCUACGGGUGGCAGCAGGGGGGAAUAUUGGACAAUGGGGGCAACCCUGAUCCAGCCAUGCCGCGUGUGUGAAGAAGGCCCUCGGGUUGUAAAGCACUUUCAGUGAGGAAGAACGCCUGGUGGUUAAUACCCAUCAGGAAAGACAUCACUCACAGAAGAAGCACCGGCUAACUCCGUGCCAGCAGCCGCGGUAAUACGGAGGGUGCGAGCGUUAAUCGGAAUUACUGGGCGUAAAGCGCGCGUAGGUGGCUUGAUAAGCCGGUUGUGAAAGCCCCGGGCUCAACCUGGGAACGGCAUCCGGAACUGUCAAGCUAGAGUGCAGGAGAGGAAGGUAGAAUUCCCGGUGUAGCGGUGAAAUGCGUAGAGAUCGGGAGGAAUACCAGUGGCGAAGGCGGCCUUCUGGACUGACACUGACACUGAGGUGCGAAAGCGUGGGUAGCAAACAGGAUUAGAUACCCCUGUAGUC